GGGGGGAAUUUUGGACAAUGGGCGCAAGCCUGAUCCAGCCAUUCCGCGUGCAGGAUGAAGGCCCUCGGGUUGUAAACUGCUUUUGUACGGAACGAAAAGGCCUGAGUUAAUACCUCGGGCUCAUGACGGUACCGUAAGAAUAAGCACCGGCUAACUACGUGCCAGCAGCCGCGGUAAUACGUAGGGUGCAAGCGUUAAUCGGAAUUACUGGGCGUAAAGCGUGCGCAGGCGGUUAUGUAAGACAGGUGUGAAAUCCCCGGGCUUAACCUGGGAACUGCACUUGUGACUGCAUAGCUAGAGUACGGUAGAGGGGGAUGGAAUUCCGCGUGUAGCAGUGAAAUGCGUAGAUAUGCGGAGGAACACCGAUGGCGAAGGCAAUCCCCUGGACCUGUACUGACGCUCAUGCACGAAAGCGUGGGGAGCAAA
rnacentral:rRNA from 1 species